rnacentral:tRNA from 1 species
ACCUGGCUGGCUCAGUCGGUGGAGCAUGCAACUUUUGAUCUCGAGGUUGUGAGUUCAAGCCCCACGUUGGGUG